AUGAGUCAAAAAGAUGAUCAGCCAUUUACUGAGCUAUUAAACAGAAUUAGGACUGGUACUCACACUGAAGAAGAUGUCAAGUGCAUUAAUUCAAGAUCAGUCAGUCCAUCAGAUGAUAAUUACCCUUCAGAUGCACUUCACAUUUGGGCUGAAAAUAACCCUGUUUCUGAACACAACAACAAACAACUAGACCAAAUUUCAAAACCUUUGUUUGUACUCACAGCUGUAGAUCAGUAUCCACCUAACGUCACAAAACAAGAUAUUGACAGGUUGUUAUGUAGAGGGAGAUCUGAAACAGGCAGACUUGAUUUUGAAAUCCACAUUAAAGAAGGUGCAAGAGUAAUGCUUACAACUAACAUCGAUAUUGCAGAUAGACUUAUAAAUGGUCAGAUAGGAAGUGUUGCAAAAAUUAUUGUUAAUCAAGAUAAUCAAAAACCAACAGUUAUCUUUGUAAAAUUUGAUGACCAUAAUGCUGGGAAUAUUUCAAUACAAAAAUGUGGAAAUCUGUUUGCUAGACAAAACAGAGCAGUACCCAUUCAACCAGUUGUAACAAAAAUCAAAGUCAGGCCAGGUAAACCAUCCUCUCCAGAAAUACAAAGGAUACAGUUUCCUAUCACACUGGCAUGGGCAUGCACUGUGCACAAAGUGCAAGAUGUCAUUAAGCAAACCAGUCACUAUCGCUGACAUCAAGUCUUCACCUGUCCCUAACUCUCCUCAACGAUGUGCAAAGAAGCUCACAUGUGCUGUCCUCAACAAAAGCCCACUAAGACCAAUCAAAAAUGGUUCUAUGUUCUCCUUGAAUCUAUGUGAUAAAGACCCAUCAUCCACAAUCAGAGCCGUCUGUUUCAACACAGACCUGUUCUCCAACUUUGAAACGGAUGUAACAUAUGAUCUUGAAUCGUUCAAGGUGAAGAAAGCAUUUGGCAAUUCGAGCUCCCUGGAACUACUACUUGACAACGACACCAAAGUUUCCACUGCAGCAUCACAACUCAAGAUCACAGACCAUACUUUCAACAUCUCCCAGAUCCUUAGAAAGGAAACUGAGAAUAUCAGAUUUAUCAACCUGAAAGCAAAAGUAACAAGUAUUGGGGAUUCAAUCUCGGUUGGCACAUACCCCGACAACAAGUCAAAGAGAAGCAUUUUCCUCGCAGACAAUACUGGGCACAUUGAACUUGUUUUGUGGAGAGAACGAGCAGAAACCAUACAAUUCAAAGAAGGCGAUGUCCUCAGCCUGCAAAAUGUGGUGUUGUUCACCUUCAAUAACCAACUCAGUGUCACAUCAACUUUUGAGACUGUCAUUACAACACUAAAUGAAGAAAUGACAGUAGCCUCAACACAGCAUCCACUGCCGAAAUCCAAUGUCGUCUCUCUUCAGACCUUCAUUGUUGCUAUCAAAGAAUUUAUCUGCACAUACACCUGCAUUGACUGCAGGAAACAGAUCGACCCAGGCGCAUCCAUGGAGAGUCCAACAAUAACAUGUCCAACAUGUUCUACCAUGUUCUUAAAGGAAAGUACACAGAUAAGCAACCACUGCAUGGUCCGCCUAAACAACAAGCAAUGGUUUUCGGCACAUACAGGAGUCAUACAGCAUCUCUUCAAAUGGCAGGAGCCAAAACCCAAGCCAACAGAACAAGACAUAGUAAAUCUACUAAGCACUAAGUUCACACUGAGAGUGGAUCUCGACCGAAAAAUAUUGGAACACGCUGCACCAGCAGACACCGACACUCACCCUGAGCCAGAAGAAGAAGAAUCAAACUCCAAAAAAGUUAAAACAGCUUAAGUAACUUGAUUUAGAACAGUGGUCUUGAUUUUAUUCUCUUAACACAGACACAAGAUCAUCUAAUAACAUGUUUGAAUAUCAAAG